CACGGGGGGAGCAAGCGUUGUUUCGGAAUUACUGGGCGUAAAGGGCGUGUAGGCGGUUCGGUAAGUGGAAUGUGAAAUGCUCCGGCUCACCCGGAGUACUGCAUCCCAAACUGCCGAGCUUGAGUAUGGGAGAGGAUGAGGGAAUUCCUGGUGUAGCGGUGAAAUGCGUAGAUAUCAGGAGGAACACCGGUGGCGAAGGCGCUCAUCUGGCCCAAUACUGACGCUGAGGCGCGAAAGCUAGGGGAGCAAACGGG
rnacentral:rRNA from 1 species